AUUGAACGCUGGCGGAAUGCUUUACACAUGCAAGUCGAACGGUAGAGGGGGCAACCCCUUGAGAGUGGCGAACGGGUGAGUAAUAUAUCGGAACGUGCCCAGUCGUGGGGAUAACGUAGCGAAAGUUACGCUAAUACCGCAUACGAUCUAAGGAUGAAAGCGGGGGACUCGCAAGAGCCUCGCGCGAUUGGAGCGGCCGAUAUCAGAUUAGGUAGUUGGUGGGGUAAAGGCUCACCAAGCCAACGAUCUGUAGCUGGUCUGAGAGGACGACCAGCCACACUGGAACUGAGACACGGCCCAGACUCCUACGGGAGGCAGCAGUGGGGAAUUUUGGACAAUGGGCGCAAGCCUGAUCCAGCAAUGCCGCGUGCAGGAUGAAGGCCUCGG
rnacentral:rRNA from 1 species